CCAAACUGUUGCCUCGGCGGGGUCACGCCCCGGGUGCGUCUCAGCCCCGGAACCAGGCGCCCGCCGGAGGAACCAACCAAACUCUUUCUGUAGUCCCCUCGCGGACGUAUUUCUUUACAGCUCUGAGCAAAAAUUCAAAAUGAAUCAAAACUUUCAACAACGGAUCUCUUGGUUCUGGCAUCGAUGAAGAACGCAGCGAAAUGCGAUAAGUAAUGUGAAUUGCAGAAUUCAGUGAAUCAUCGAAUCUUUGAACGCACAUUGCGCCCGCCAGUAUUCUGGCGGGCAUGCCUGUCCGAGCGUCAUUUCAACCCUCGAACCCCUCCGGGGGAUCGGCGUUGGGGAUCGGGACCCCUCACACGGGCGCCGGCCCCUAAAUACAGUGGCGGUCUCGCCGCAGCCUCUCCUGCGCAGUAGUUUGCACAACUCGCACCGGGAGCGCGGCGCGUCCACGUCCGUAAAACACCCAACUUUCUGAAAUGUUGACCUCGGAUCAGGUAGGAAUACCCGCUGAACUUAAGCAUAUCAAUAAGCGGAGGAA
rnacentral:rRNA from 1 species